rfam:Echinococcus multilocularis genomic scaffold, pathogen_EMT_contig_1069
CCCGCUGAACUUAAGCAUAUCAAUAAGCGGAGGAGAAGAAACCAACCAGGAUUCCCUCAGUAACGGCGAGUGAAGAGGGAGAAGCCCAGUGCCGAAGCCUGCGGCAGGUUUGUCGGUGGGCCAUGUGGUGUGCGGGUUGGCUGGCGGGACCGCCGCUCCACUCCAAGUCCAGCAUUGAGUAUGGUUGUGAGUGAAUGUGGCCCAUAGAGGGUGAUAGGCCCGUAGGAGUGGGGGCUCAGGCAGGUGAGGCGGUUCACCAGGCCGGCUCAGGAGUCGGGUUGUUUGAGAUUGCAGCCCAAAGUGGGUGGUAAACUCCAUCCAAGGCUAAAUACAGGCACGAGUCCGAUAGCGGACAAGUACCGUGAGGGAAAGUUGAAAAGUACUCUGAAGAGAGAGUAAAGAGUGCGUGAAACCGCGUGCAGGUAAGCGGGUGGCGUCAAGCUGCUAGCCGGGAGGACUCAGCUGGCUGCAGUGUAGUGUGCGCGCCUAGUGCGU